CAUUUUUCAGCUUUUGAUAGACUGUUGCACCUCAGUGAUACAGUCUGAAGUGAAACUGCAUCUUAAGGAGCUAAGGAAAGAUUGGGAUGAUGAACUGGUGCCAUAUGCAAGAGUAGCAGUGUUCCCUUCUGCUGGAAAGAGACCUUCCCCAUCCAUGUGGGCAAAAGGCUCACUUAAAAGCAGCUUGAAGUAUUCCUUGAAAAUCCUCCCAACAAUGUGAUCUGAUUUCUACUGUUUGCUCCCAUCUUGUGCAGAGGUCAGUGAAGAAUUUGCAGCUGAAACAAGAUGAACACCUAUUGUGUUUCUCAAUCUUUUCCUGUGCUGCGACACAUGUUUAUAUGAUUAACGUGUCUUUUUAAAUACCAGCCUUCCUUAACAAUUUUUUCCUUUGAGAAUUGCUUUUCAGAUUAACAGCUCUCUGCACAGCAAUUACUUAAUAAAUAAUUACAAAGAUUAAUGCUUACCCA
rnacentral:lncRNA from 1 species